rnacentral:misc_RNA from 1 species
GUGAAUCAUCAAAUUUUUGAACGCAAAUUGCACUCUCUUCGGAGAUUAUGCCUGUUUGAGGGUCAGCCUAAAAAAAAUCAACGUAGUCGCUGUUUCGCGGUUACAUUCGUCGGAAAUUGGGUCAUCUUAAACCUUUGGGUUUUUUAGUCGGCUGAAAAUUUUCUUUACGAUUCCACGAACGUUCCUAAGAUUUUACUUCUUACACACGUUUAAGGUAUCUAUCCUUAUUAAACUUGGCCUUUGCAUCGGAUCGCUUCCAUAAAUAUUUCGUUAACUUACCUCAUACAGGUAAGAACACCC